rnacentral:rRNA from 1 species
GACGAACGCUGGCGGCGUGCUUAACACAUGCAAGUCGAACGGAAAGGCCCUGCGUUUGUGGGGUGCUCGAUUGCCGAACGCGUGAGUAACACGUGAGUAACCUGCCCUUGUCUUUGGGAUAACUUCAGGAAACUGGGGCUAAUACCGGAUAGGAUCUCCUGCAGCAUGGUGGGCGUUGGAAAGUUUCGGCCGUUGGGGAUGGACGCGCGGCUUACCAGCUUGCUGGUGGGGUAGUGGCUUACCAAGGCUUUGACGGGUAGCCGGCCUGAGAGGGUGAACGGCCACAAUGGGACUGAGAUACGGCGCAGACGCGUACGGGAGGCAACGGUGGGGAAUAUUGCCCAGUGAGCGGGAGCCUGAUACGGCGGCCCCGCGUGCGGAAUGACGGCCUUCGGGGUGAGAACAGCUUUCGCCUGAGACGAAGCGUGAGUGACGGUAAUGAGUAAAGAAGCACCGGCUAACUACGUG